CAGAGGGGGAAUGUGAAGCUGGAGGUGCUGUGCCCACUAAAGGCAUUCCAUGUUGCUGCUGGAGGUGUGACAUGACUCGGGGCUCCCUGCCCAUGGAGGGAAUGUUUUUCUCCAGCUUUCCUCUUUGAAACUACUGCUUCCCAAGGAGAAGAGGAGCAAUUUCACCUUCACAGGCUCUAUAUCCUCUGGGCACACUCUUUAUUUUCCUUCCUUCCCUGGCUUCUGUCUCAUCAUUGUCUCCCUUCAUUCACCGUGGACCAUGGCUACCAGACACACACAGAUAAGCUGGGGGCUGAAGUAGCCAUGGAUUUGGGUUGCCCAGCAUGAUUUUCCUCCUGUCCCUUCCUCUGAUAGUGCACCCUGCCCCCUACUUCAGCCACAGUGUGGGCACAUGACCCAGCCUGGACCAGUGCACCAUCCCCUGCUGGUUGCAGAGAUUGGUUCAGAAGUGAGCACAUGACCAAGCCAGGCCAAUCAGAGCCCUUCUUUGGGACGGUUUUGUAGAAACCAAAGGGGAAGACAGCUGCCUGCCUCUGAGAUGCUGGAAGGAUUUGAAUCUGAGGCUGCCUGUGGCCAUCUUUCCUGCCACAUGGAAAAUGACCUGCUGUGAUAAUGGAGAAUAAGCCAACACUCAGGGAACAACAGCACUAAGAGUUCUGGGCUGGAUGAGCCCUGGUGCAAAUAGUUACCCUGGAGUGGAAGUAGACGUGGAACACAGCGCCAAGGAGGAACAUCAGAACUGAGGGAACCAAGCCGGUUUGUGGAUGGUAACGAGACAGCAGGCACUGGGCAAGGGGCACAGCUGGGAGAGUGCAAGAUUAGCCCUGAGCUAACAUCUGCCGCCAAUCCUCCUCUUUUUGCGGAGGAAGAAUGGCCCUGAGCUAACAUCGGUGCCCAUCUUCCUCUACUUUAUAUGUGGGACGCCUGCUACAGUAUGUCUUGGCAAGUGGUGUGUAGGUCUGCACCUGGGAUCUGAACUGGCGAACCCCGGGCCACUGAAGUGGAACGUGUGAACUUAACUGCUGCACCACCAGGCUGGCCCCACAAUAAAGCAUUUUAAAAUGUCUCUUUCAAAAAUUACUUUUUAUCAUCUGUUUGAGAUAUUGUUCAGGAUGAAAUGGUCAAUGUAGAAUUUUUGUAAAUGUUUAAAACGAUCUAAAUAUUCACCAGUUAGGGAAAUGAUUAAUUAUUUUGUACCCAUAUGAUGGAAUACCUUACAAUUUCAAAAGCUGAGGUAGAUUUAUAUGUACAUAAAGUUGCAGAAUUGUGUGAUCACAUUGUAGUUAAAAAUUACAUAUAUGUAUUCGUGUAUAGAUGAGUGUAUAUUUAGACAAAAAAAAAAUGGUCUCAAAGGAUAUUCAUUGUAGUGAAUAAUAUGGUGGCCUUCCCAGCAUCCAUCCCCAUUACCCUAUUGCACAGUUUGGAUGGAAUUGACCCCAUGCCCAACUCCAGAGGUUGGCCCUAUUCAUGGAGCCAACUAGGAAAAUUUCAUCCUUUCUGCCACAGAGAUUAAUUCAAGAAUGGAAACCAACCCAAUCAAUACUUGGCAUUCCCCAGGCCUCAGUGAUGGGUUCAUAAGUAAGCACAUGGCCAAAUUCGGUCCAAUCAGAGUGAAGCCUAGGAUGUUCACUCCAUGGUUGUUGAGUUUCUCUCUCUCUUCCCUCUCUUCCUUUCCUUUCCCUCCCUACUCCUCUCUCUGAUGAAGCAUGUGGCCCUGUAGCCAGCAAUGUCACAAUCACGAGGUGAGCCAGACUUGGGAUGAAGCUGAUGUCUUGGAAGGUAGAGCAAGGAGAGAGAAACGGAGUCUUUGGUGACACAGUUGAGUGACUGAAUUAAACAAAUCCUGAAGCCUGCCCUUCCUCUGGGCUUUGAGAAGCUCUUUACAUUUUCUGUUGAAGAUGGUCAAAUGAAAUGGUGGAUGUGGUGUUGUUUGUAACAGCCAGGCAUUGGAAACAACCUAAAUGUUCAUUCACUCAGAAAAGGAUUAAAUAAAUUAUGAGAACCAGAAGAUUAUCUUCGUUGUUCUAUCCAUUUUGAAUGGAAUUUUCUCCUGCUUGUUAUAUAGUCUUCAUGGACGCAUGCAUCAAACUGUUUGAAGUGUUUAACCUUGGGAAUGGGGUGUUUGUGUGUGUAUGUGGUCAGAGGGCUGAUGGGAGAAAUUCUUUCAUUUG
ensembl:lncRNA